rnacentral:rRNA from 1 species
UACGUAGGGUGCAAGCGUUGUCCGGAAUUAUUGGGCGUAAAGAGCUCGUAGGCGGUUCGUCGCGUCGGCUGUGAAAACCUGAGGCUCAACCUCAGGCCUGCAGUCGAUACGGGCGGGCUUGAGUACUGCAGGGGAGACUGGAAUUCCUGGUGUAGCGGUGAAAUGCGCAGAUAUCAGGAGGAACACCGGUGGCGAAGGCGGGUCUCUGGGCAGUAACUGACGCUGAGGAGCGAAAGCGUGGGGAGCGAACAGG